rnacentral:rRNA from 1 species
UACAGAGGUGGCAAGCGUUGCUCGGAAUCACUGGGCUUAAAGGGCGUGCAGGCGGCCAAGUAAGCGUUUUGUGAAAUCCCCCGGCUCAACCGGGGAAUUGCUUGACGAACUGCUUGGCUCGAGGGAGGCAGGGGCAACUGGAACUCUGGGUGGAGCGGUGAAAUGCGUAGAUAUCCAGGGGAACGCCGGUGGAGAAAUCGGGUUGCUGGGCCUUACCUGACGCUGAGGCGCGAAAGCCAGGGGAGCGAACGGG